ensembl:lncRNA
GUGCCCAAAGAGCCUGUCCACAUUGGCCCUUAUGGGGGACCCAUCGCCGUCCAUACUGCCCUGGGUUGGGCUGUUCAGGGCCCAGCCAAUGCCUUACCUCGACCUCCGACUUCUGGUGUACAAGCCUUGUUUACACUCUGCAAUACUGUCUCCUGCCCAGCUACUGCCGAGUUGAUGGAGAAUGUGGAGAGACUGUGGAGACUAGAUUCCUUUCCACACCGUAAGGAGAAGGACGUAACCCGGUCUAAGCAAGAUCAUUAUUGCCUGGAGCUGCUUGAGACGAAAACUGCAGUGACAGAAGCAGGGGGAGUGUCUCGGUAUGCUACCCCAUUGCUCAGAGCACCCAACAGUCCACAGUUAAUCUCUUCAACCCAUAACUUGUUGCCAUGGCUGCGAGGAACUGAACGCAGGUUGAAGAAGGACCCUGAGCUCGUUGAGAUCUGCAACCAGGAGAUCCAGAAACUGGUUGAGAUGGAGUAUGUGAAGGAGGUGGAUCCCAAAGAUGAUCAGCCAGGUUCAGAAUCUUGGUAUGUUCCACAUCACAUCGUCAAACAAGCAAGUGGGAAACAUCGACUGGUGUUCAACUGCUCUUUCCAGCUUCAUGGCCUGAACCUAAAUCGCAGCCUUCUUCCGGGUCCAACUCUGGGUCCCUCUCUUCUUGGCGUGCUCCUCCGUUUCCGUGAGCAUAGCGUAGCCAUCAGUGGCGACAUAAAAUCCAUGUUCCACCAAGUUCAUUUACUUCCUGCUGACAGGCCACUGCUCAGAUUCCUCUGGCGAGCUAUGGCUCAAGCUACACACCCAAAGACCUAUGAGUGGCAGGUGUUACCUUUCGGUACAACUUGUAGUCCUUGUUGCGCCAUUUACGCCCUGCAGCGUCAAGCAAAAGAGCACCCAGAGAGUGAUAAUGAAGUGAUGACGUCAGUGUUGAGGGCGUUCUAUGUUGACAAUUGCCUGCAAAGCUUCCCUUCUUCAGCCACAGCCAAAACACUUUUGGACAAACUUCGUGCUACACUGUCUCACGGGGGAUUUGAAAUUCGCCAAUGGGCGAGUAAUGACUCCAGUGUUGUCAAACACCUCCCUCCAGAGGCAAGAUCUGUUAGCACUGACUUGUGGCUCUCUCAAGCGGGCAUUGACCCCCAGGAGUCCACCUUAGGCUUGCGCUGGAGCUGCCUUCCGGAUAGCCUGGGAUACAAACACCGUGUGACACCCAUUAAGAUUCCCACGCUCCGCCUAAUCUAUCGCACUCUUGCCAGUCAAUAUGACCCCUUAGGGUAUAUCUUGCCUUAUACGACCAGGGCCAAAGUGCUGGUUCAAGACUUAUGGAAAACCAAACAAGGCUGGGAUGACCCCAUCACUCCAUCUGAACUGGUUGAUCGAUGGCUGAAGUGGGAACAGGAACUGGCUGACCUCUCAAGCAUCAGACUGCCUCGCUGCUAUGUGCCCGCUUGUGCUGACCAGUCAGGUGUAUACAGAGAGCUGCAUGUCUUCUGUGAUGCCUCGGAAAGGGCCUAUGGCACCGUGGUCUAUUUACGUGUCCAUGACAGCCAAAAUCAUGUUCAUGUGGCAUUCGUCAUGGCCCGCUCUAGAGUGUCACCAAAGAGACAGUUGUCAAUGCCUCGACUUGAACUGAGCGCUGCCUUGUUAGGGGCGCAGUUGGCCACCACCUUGAAGUCUGAACUUACCUUGUCAUUGGCCCGAACCAUCCUUUGGAGUGACUCCACAACAGUAUUGACCUG